rnacentral:tRNA from 1 species
GCGGGCGUGGCGGAAUGGCAGACGCUAUGGCUUUAGGUGCCAUUGCUCGAAAGAGCGUGUGGGUUCGAAUCCCUCCGCCCGCA